CAAUUCUUCUUCAUCUUUCAAUUCUCACUUCUCUUUUCCGUUCUUUUUCUUCAGAAAUUGGGAAGUAUAUCUCUAAAGAUAUUCAUAACAAUCCUUUUGAUUAAGGGUUUGAAAAUCAUAAAAUCACUCUCUAAUGGUCAAAUCUAAGAGGAUUACAAGAGGAUCCACUGCUAAAAUAACGGAAGAAAGAUGAUCAAAGAGUUGGUGUUUGCAUCUUUUUGUAUCACUACUAAUAAAAGUAAAAAAACAAAUUGGGUGUAAAAGAUUUCGAAAACUUGUUGAAGACCACGUUGAGGAAGAAAAAUUUUCUAUUAGUUUGUUUUGCAUUUAUAGUUCUUUUUUAGAAUUUGG